rnacentral:rRNA from 1 species
UACGGAGGGGGCUAGCGUUGUUCGGAAUUACUGGGCGUAAAGGGCGCGUAGGCGGCCUACAAAGUCAGACGUGAAAGCCCCGGGCUUAACCUGGGAACUGCGUUUGAUACUGGUAGGCUAGAGGACGGGAGAGGAAAGCAGAAUUCCUAGUGUAGAGGUGAAAUUCGUAGAUAUUAGGAAGAAUACCGGAGGCGAAGGCGGCUUUCUGGACCGUAACUGACGCUGAGGCGCGAAAGCGUGGGGAGCAAACAGG